rnacentral:rRNA from 1 species
GACGAACGCUGGCGGCGUGCUUAACACAUGCAAGUCGAACGGAAAGGCCCUGCUUUUGUGGGGUGCUCGAGUGGCGAACGGGUGAGUAACACGUGAGUAACCUGCCCUUGACUUUGGGAUAACUUCAGGGAACUGGGGCUAAUACCGGAUAGGAGCUCCUGCUGCAUGGUGGGGGUUGGAAAGUUUCGGCGGUUGGGGAUGGACUCGCGGCUUAUCAGCUUGUUGGUGGGGUAGUGGCUUACCAAGGCUUUGACGGGUAGCCGGCCUGAGAGGGUGACCGGCCACAUUGGGACUGAGAUACGGCCCAGACUCCUACGGGAGGCAGCAGUGGGGAAUAUUGCACAAUGGGCGGAAGCCUGAUGCAGCAACGCCGCGUGCGGGAUGACGGCCUUCGAGUUGUAAACCGCUUUCGCCUGUGACGAAGCGUGAGUGACGGUAAUGGGUAAAGAAGCACCGGCUAACUACGUGCCAGCAGCCUCGGUGAUACGUAGGGUGCGAGCGUUGUCCGGAUUUAUUGGGCGUAAAGGGCUCGUAGGUGGUUGAUCGCGUCGGAAGUGUAAUCUUGGGGCUUAACCCUGAGCGUGCUUUCGAUACGGGUUGACUUGAGGAAGGUAGGGGAGAAUGGAAUUCCUGGUGGAGCGGUGGAAUGCGCAGAUAUCAGGAGGGAACACCAGUGGGCGAAGGCGGUUCUCUGGGCCUUUCCUGACGCUGAGGAGCGAAAGCGUGGGGAGCGAACAGGCUUAGAUACCCUGGUAGUCCACGCUGUAAACGGUGGGUACUAGGUGUGGGGUCCAUUCCACGGAUUCCGUGCCGUAGCUAACGCUUUAAGUACCCCGCCUGGGGAGUACGGCCGCAAGGCUAAAACUCAAAGGAAUUGGCGGGGCCCCGCACAAGCGGCGGAGCAUGCGGAUUAAUUCGAUGCAACGCGUAGAACCUUACCUGGGUUUGACAUGGAUCGGGAGUGCUCAGAGAUGGGUGUGCCUCUUUUGGGGUCGGUUCACAGGUGGUGCAUGGCUGUCGUCAGCUCGUGUCGUGAGAUGUUGGGUUAAGUCCCGCAACGAGCGCAACCCUUGUUCACUGUUGCCAGCACGUUAUGGUGGGGACUCAGUGGAGACCGCCGGGGUCAACUCGGAGGAAGGUGGGGAUGACGUCAAGUCAUCAUGCCCCUUAUGUCCAGGGCUUCACGCAUGCUACAAUGGCUGGUACAGAGAGUGGCGAGCCUGUGAGGGUGAGCGAAUCUCGGAAAGCCGGUCUCAGUUCGGAUUGGGGUCUGCAACUCGACCUCAUGAAGUCGGAGUCGCUAGUAAUCGCAGAUCAGCAACGCUGCGGUGAAUAAAAUCCCGGGGCU